GUAGUCCACGCCCUAAACGAUGCGCACUAGAUCGUUGCAGGUUUGACCCUGCAAUGGUCGUAGAGAAAUUGAUAAGUGCGCCGCCUGGGGAGUACGGUCGCAAGGCUAAAACUCAAAGAAAUUGACGGGGGCUCACACAAGCGGUGGAGCAUGUUGCUUAAUUCGAAGCAACGCGAAGAACCUUACCCGGGUUUGACAUGCACGGAUUAGUUCCUGGAAACAGGGAUGAGGCUCGCAAGAGUACAACGUGCACAGGUGCUGCAUGGCUGUCGUCAGCUCGUGCUGUGAAGUGUCGGGUUAAGUCCCUUAACGAGCGCAACCCUUGUCGCUAGUUGCUAACGCGUAAUGGCGAGGACUCUAGCGAGACUGCCGGUGUCAAACCGGA
rnacentral:rRNA from 1 species